rnacentral:rRNA from 1 species
AUUGAACGCUGGCGGCAGGCCUAACACAUGCAAGUCGAGCGAGUGGCGGACGGGUGAGUAAUGUCUGGGCCACUGCCCGAUGGAUGGGGUUAACUACUGGAAACGGUAGCUAAUACCGCAUACCAUCGGAUGUGCCCAGAUGGGAUUGGCUAGUAGGUGGGGUAAUGGCUCACCUAGGCGACGAUCCCUAGCUGGGCUGAGAGGAUGACCAGCCACACUGGAACUUGGAAACGGGCCAGACUCCUACGGGAGGCAGCAGUGGGGAAUAUUGCACAAUGGGCGCAAGCCGGAUGCAGCCAUGCCGCGUGGGUGAAGAAGGCCUUCGGGUUGUAAAGCACUUUCAGCGAGGAGGCGUUACUCGCAGAAGAAGCACCGGCUAACUCCGUGCCAGCAGCCGCGGUAAUAC